UACGAAGGGGGCUAGCGUUGCUCGGAAUUACUGGGCGUAAAGGGCGCGUAGGCGGAUAUUUAAGUUGGGGUGAAAUCCCGGGGCUCAACCUCGGAAUUGCCUUCAAAACUGGAUAUCUUGAGUUCGGGAGAGGUGAGUGGAACUCCGAGUGUAGAGGUGAAAUUCGUAGAUAUUCGGAAGAACACCAGUGGCGAAGGCGACUCACUGGCCCGAUACUGACGCUGAGGCGCGAAAGCGUGGGAGCAAACAGG
rnacentral:rRNA from 1 species